rnacentral:rRNA from 1 species
CACGAACGCUGGCGGCAGGCUUAACACAUGCAAGUCGAGCGCCCCGCAAGGGGGGCGGCAGACGGGUGAGUAACGCGUGGGAAUCUACCCAUCUCUACGGAAUAACGCAUGGAAACGUGUGCUAAUACCGUAUACGUCCCUCGGGAGAAAGAUUUAUCGGAGAUGGAUGAGCCCGCGUUGGAUUAGCUAGUUGGUGGGGUAAAGGCCUACCAAGGCGACGAUCCAUAGCUGGUCUGAGAGGAUGAUCAGCCACACUGGGACUGAGACACGGCCCCGGCUCCUACGGGAGGCAGCAGUGGGGAAUAUUGGACAAUGGGCGCAAGCCUGAGCCAGCCAUGCCGCGUGAGUGAUGAAGGCCCUAGGGUUGUAAAGCUCUUUCACCGGUGAAGAUAAUGACGGUAACCGGAGAAGAAGCCCCGGCUAACUUCGUGCCAGCAGCCGCCGUAACAC